rnacentral:rRNA from 1 species
AACGAACGCUGGCGGCAGGCUUAACACAUGCAAGUCGAGCGCCCCGCAAGGGGAGCGGCAGACGGGUGAGUAACGCGUGGGAAUCUACCCAUCUCUACGGAAUAACGCAUGGAAACGUGUGCUAAUACCGUAUACGUCCUUCGGGAGAAAGAUUUAUCGGAGAUGGAUGAGCCCGCGUUGGAUUAGCUAGUUGGUGGGGUAAAGGCCUACAAAGGCGACGAUGCAUAGCUGGUCUGAGAGGAGGAUCAGCCACACUGGGACUGAGACACGGCCCAGCGUACUACGGGAGGCACCAGUGGGGAAUAUUGGACAAUGGGCGCAAGCCUGAUCAAGCCAUGCCGCGUGAGUGAUGAAGGCCCUAGGGUUGUAAAGCUCUUUCACCGGUGAAGAUAAUGACGGUAACCGGAGAAGAAGCCCCGGCUAACUUCGUGCCAGCCGCCGCGGUAAUAC